GUCUAAAUCGCUCAGUUGGCAGAGCCCGAGCCUCUGAAUCUCAGGGCGGUGGGUUCGAAACCCCACAUUGGGCA